rnacentral:tRNA from 1 species
GCGUUCGUGGUGUAGUGGUCAGCACGCUGGGCGCGUAUUCCAGAGGCCCGUGGUUCGAGUCCUGACGGAAGCG